UGAACAGACACUUCUCAGAGGUGAUAUGUAAUCAGUCAACAAAUAUAUGAAAAAAUGUUCAACAUCUCUAGCAAUUAGAGAAAUGCAAAUCAAAACUAAGAUUUUAUCUCACUCCAGUCAAACAGUAAGUGUUGGUGAGGAUGUAGGGGAAAAGGCACACUCAUACACUGCUGGUGGGACUGCAAAAUGGUGCAACCGAUAUGAUUUCUUGGAAAACUGGGAAUGGAACCACCUUUUGACCCAGCUAUCCCACUCCUUGGUCUAUACCCAAAGGACUUAAGAACAGUCUACUACAGGGAUACAGACACAUCAGUGUUUUUGCAGCAUGAUUCACAAUAGCUAGACUGUGGAGCCAACCUAGAUGCCCUUCAGUGGAUGAAUGGCUAAAGAAUGUGGCAUAUAUACACAAUUGAACAUUACUCAGCAGUAAAAGAGAACAAAAUCAUGGCAUUUGCAGAUAAAUGGAUGGAGUUGGAGAACAUAAUGCUAAGUGCAGUUAGCCAUUCCCAAAAAACCAAAUGCUGAUGUUUUCUCUGAUAUAAGGAGGCUGAUU
rnacentral:lncRNA from 1 species